rfam:Bacillus cibi strain DSM 16189 Contig01, whole genome shotgun sequence.
AGGCGAUGUCUCCUUGCCGUUAUCAAUGGAGGCACUCGGUCAUGCUGUGGGUGUAGAAACCUUAGACGCAAGUCGUCGCUGGUGUGGUGUGAGGAGGGGUUAAAUGCCCA